rnacentral:rRNA from 1 species
GUCUAUGACCAUACUACCCUGAACAUGCCUUAUCUUGUCAGAUGGAGGAAGUUAAGCAGGGGCAGGCCUGGUUAGUACUUGAAUGGGAGAAGGAGACUAGGGUAUGACU